UACGGGGGGGGCAAGCGUUGUUCGGAAUUACUGGGCGUAAAGGGCUCGUAGGCGGCCAACUAAGUCAUACGUGAAAUCCCUCGGCUUAACCGGGGAACUGCGUCUGAUACUGGAUGGCUUGAGUUCGGGAGAGGGAUGCGGAAUUCCAGGUGUAGCGGUGAAAUGCGUAGAUAUCUGGAGGAACACCGGUGGCGAAGGCGGUGUCCUGGACCAACACUGACACUGAGGAGCGAAAGCCAGGGGAGCAAACGGG
rnacentral:rRNA from 1 species